rnacentral:lncRNA from 1 species
AAGGCAGAACAACAUGACUGAAGGCGAUGAGGAACAGCUGAUCACCUGUGGAAGUCAUUUGUCCUAAAUUGUCAUGGACAGACCAUGUGCCUUACAGCAAGAAAAUUCUGUGAAUAAACAGGAAGCCAGCCAGCCAGGGAAGAUGCUUUUGUGAUAUAUCCCAGCAUGCUGAUGACCCCAAGGAGGACCACUGGAUACCUAGCAAGAUUCUCCCAUUGAGAAGCAUUUCUGUGAGCUCUGGAAGUCAGGUGAAAAGGAGAAGUCAUAAUCUAUGGCAGCAGCUAUGGGAAGGAAAAAGAAGAACUGAUUGAAGAGUGGCAACCAGAACCUCUUGUUCCUCCUGUCCCAAAAGACCAUCCUGCUCUCAACUACAACAUCGUUUCAGGAAAAACAUCAAGAAAAGGGCAGUAAGAAUGUUAUUUAAAAAUAUGGAGGUAAAUUUCAGAAGAAAAUGCCGAAAAUGUUUGCCUUUGGAAAACGAGAAUCAAGGGUGAGAAUGGAAACAUCUGCGUGAGAAGGGCCCCUCUCAUAAAAUGAAAACAAAGGACAGAAAGCAUUGCUGAGGGCUUAAGGUGUGGAUGAAAUGACACAUUGAAGCUGAAGAAUCCCCAUGUUGACAGCAUUCAAUCCAAGAAAAGCUCCACUGUACACAUGUUCUAACAUAUG